GAUGAACGCUAGCUACAGGCUUAACACAUGCAAGUCGAGGGGUAACGAGAGGGAAGCUUGCUUUCCUUGUCGACGACCGGCGCACGGGUGAGUAACGCGUAUCCAACCUGCCCCCAACUAGGGAAUAACCUUGCGAAAGCAAGACUAAUACCCUAUAAUUUCCUCAGAUGUCAUCUGACGAGGAAUAAAGAUUUAUCGGUUGUGGAUGGGGAUGCGUCUGAUUAGCUUGUUGGCGGGGUAACGGCCCACCAAGGCAACGAUCAGUAGGGGUUCUGGGAGGAAGGUCCCCCACAUUGGAACUGAGACACGGUCCAAACUCCUACGGGAGGCAGCAGUGAGGAAUAUUGGUCAAUGGGCGGAAGCCUGAACCAGCCAAGUAGCGUGCAGGAUGACGGCCCUAUGGGUUGUAAACUGCUUUUAUACAGGAAUAAAGUUAGCCACGUGUGGUUAUUUGUAGGUACUGUAUGAAUAAGGACCGGCUAAUUCCGUGCCAGCCGCCGCAGUAA
rnacentral:rRNA from 1 species